GAGGUUUGCCUACUGAAGCCCUUGGCUAGCGACUCUAAAUAAAUUGGCCAUAGUCGUCCCUCCGGGGGUUGGCGACGCCAUCAAUCUGUGUCUGGCAGUGCCUCUUUCGGGGUUUAUCACCAGCAGCUCGCUGCCCUGCGGCGUCCGAGUUCACAGAUCAAACGAUAGCGGCCACUGCCUGUGGUUGAGAUAUGAUCGGCCUCCAGCUCUCACUGAGCUGGCGAAAAUUUGCGGAACCUGCGGAAGGAUCAUUAUUGAGUUGGGGGGCCUAGCCCCCAACGGCGAGUGUCGUUCGAGUCCCUUCGGGUUCGGUCGGCGGUCGUCGUAUUUCUCAACCCCAUGUUUACUAUACCUUUGUUGCUUUGGCGGGCCUUGAGUAGGCUAUACGGCUCAUGCUGGCCCCAGGUUUCAUUGCCUGAGGACGGCUCGCGCCCGCCAGAGGUUUAAUCAAACCCUGUUUAUUAGUGACGUCUGAGCAAAUAUUAAAUAAUCAAAACUUUCAACAACGGAUCUCUUGGUUCUGGCAUCGAUGAAGAACGCAGCGAAAUGCGAUAAGUAAUGUGAAUUGCAGAAUUCAGUGAAUCAUCGAAUCUUUGAACGCACAUUGCGCCCCUCGGUAUUCCGGGGGGCAUGCCUGUUCGAGCGUCAUUACACCCCUCAAGCGUAGCUUGGUAUUGGACUUUCGCGGGCCCUCCGAGGAGAGGCUCGCGCGUCCGAAAAGCAGUGGCGGUCCUCGAGGACUUCGCGCGUAGUAAAUAUCAUCCCGCGUUGGAAAGAAUCGAUAGGUCUUGCCAAAAUCCCCCUUCUAUAACUUCCAUAAUUGACCUCGGAUCAGUAGGGAUACCC
rnacentral:rRNA from 1 species